GUGACCGGUAGACAACCCAUUGUCAAACUGUAACUGUACGCAGCCUUGCAAAAUUUAAACUAUAAGCAACGCAUAACUAUAUUAAUGAAAAUAACGGUAGUAAUGGUAAUGGCAGCAAGGGCAUAAAAUUAAUACAAGUUUAAAAUUCUACACCUUGGUGUAACAGUAAAAUGAAGGCGACCAUUGAGACGAGCAACAAGUGAGAUAUGCCUCUGGGAAGAUAAAUUUAAGCAGAUUUACUACUUCCGAGCCCACUUUAAUGAAAACCGACGACAAACUUUGAUGAUGGUGAAUAUUGUGUAAUAUUUUACUCCGGAUUUCCACAUUUGCAUAUGGGAAAGAAGAGCAGACACCACUGCAUGGAAAUUGACUAAAUAAUUUAACCGAUACAUAAAUUUUCCAUUAUUUAUUUCCGAGCUAAAAACAGCGCAGCACCUUCUUUUC